rnacentral:rRNA from 1 species
GACGAACGCUGGCGGCGUGCCUAACACAUGCAAGUCGAACGGAAAGGCCCUGCUUUUGUGGGGUGCUCGUGUGGCGAACGGGUGAGUAACACGCGAGUAACAUGCCCCUGACUUUGUGAUAACUUCAGGAAACUGGGGCUAUUAUCCGAUAGGAGCUCCUGAUGCAUGGUGGGGGUUGGAAAGAUUCGGCAGUUUGGGAUGGUCUGGAAGGUUACCGGCUUGUUGGUGGGGUAGUGGAUUACCAAGGUUUUGACGGGUAGCCGGCCUGGGAGGGUGACCGGCCACAUGGGGACUGCGGGACGGCCCAGACUCGUACGGGCGGCAGCAGUGGGGAGUAUUGCACAAUGGGCGGAAGCCAGAUGCAACAACGCCGCGUGCGUGAUGACGGCCUUCGGGUUGUAAACCACUUUCGCCUGUGACGAAGCGUGAGUGACGGUAAUGGGUAAAGAAGCACCGGCUAACUACGUG